rnacentral:pre_miRNA from 1 species
UGAACAGACUGUGAGGGCUGAGGGGCCUGAAAUGAGCCUUGAGACUGUGAAUCAAUGCCUGUUUCAUGCCCUGAGUCUUCCAUGUUCU